CAGGCUUCACGCUGCCAGUGUAGCCCGAUGCAAGAUUCGAACCCACGAACCGUGAGAUCAUGACCUGAGCUGAAAUCAAGAGUCAGAUGCUUAACUGACUGAGCCACCCAGGCACCCCUGGAAUUUUCUCAUUUUAAGAAAAAUGACUUAGAUGAGGUCCAAUUUGUCAUUUUUUCCUUUUAUGAAUUGUGCUUUUAAGGUCAAGUCUAAGAACGUUUCACUUGAUCCUAAGUCCCCCCAGUUUUCUCCUUAAAAUGUUAUAGUUUUGUUUUAUAUUUAAAUCUAUGAUUCCUUUUGAGUGAGUUUUUUUUACAAGGUGUGGAAUUUAGGUAAGGUUUAAUUUUUGUUUAUUUACUUAUAUUUUACCUGUGGGCGUCCAUUUGCUCCAUUACCAUUUAUCUGUUAAAAGGCAUAUUCUUCCUCCAUUUAAGUUCUUUUGCAUCUUUGUCAAAAAUCACUUGGGCCUUUAUGUGUGGGUUCAUUUGGUUCUUUGUUUUGUCCCACUAAUCUGUGUAUCUAUCACUCUGUCAGUACUAAUGAUUAAUUUUAAUAUUUCCAUUUCCCCCUAGUUUGCACUGGGCGGACCUGGAGCCUGAGACCUAGAAGAGCAGCUGGAUUUGCUGUAGUGUAAUGUCACCCUUCAUGGAUGCCGCCACAUUCAGAGGUUCACCCCCAUCUCUUCUCCAUGCGGCAAAGUAAAAUUCCCAAAGGAAUUUCACAUCAGGUCCACCAGGACAUCCAGCUCUGUGAGUAACCCCCCCCCCAACCCCCCACCACCUGACUCUAUUUUAAAAAAGAGACCUUUUAGCCAGUCUUGUUUGCUCCAUUUUGAAAUCUCCUUUUACAAAGAUGUAGUUAAUGUUCUAACAGAGGUCCAAAUAGUGGAGAGGUUUCUCCCCUUCAAGUUGGGGAAGAAAGUUGCUGGAUUCAAGCUGCUAUAGUGAGAAAAGUGAUACAUAAAAGGUUAAGACACCAUGGGUACCCCAAUAUAUCACUAUGUUCUUUAAUUCUUCUCAUAACACUUACUAGAAAUUGUCUGCUUUCAGCAAGAUCAUUUGUUUUUUAAAAAUUUUAAAAAUGUUUUUAUUUAUUUUUGAGACCGAGAGAGACAGAGCAUUAGCAGGGGAGGGGCAGAGAAAGAGGGAGACACAGAAUCCAAAACAGGCUCCAGGCCUGUGCUGUCCGCACAGAACCUGACGCAGGGCUCAAACUCAUGGACCGUGAGAUCAUGACCUGAGCAGAAGCCGGACGCUUAACCGACUGAGCCACCCAGGCGCCCUUCAGCAAAAUCAUUUAUAUUUAGAAUCCUGGCAGCCAAAUAUCUGUGAAGGCUGUUUUCUAUAUUUUGUGCUAAAAAUGGAGUCUUUUUCUUGUAAAUUGAUAAAUCAUUGAAACAUUUUACUUUUAUAAUAAAAUUAAGAAGGUGACAUUUUCAUUUUGUCAAUUUUAACUUUUUCUUUUAUCUGCAAUUUGGUAGAUAAAAGUGCUUUCAAAUUAUCAAAUGUGGAGGAUGCCAGACAAAAGUAAUUUGUGCUAUUAUCCUUCCCUUCAUAAAAUGAAGGAGCAGGCAUCCCUAGGUGGCUCAGUCGGUUAAGUGUCUGACUUCAGCUCAGGUCAUGAUCUCACAGCCUGUGAGUUCGAGCCCCGCAUUGGGCCUGGAGCCUGCUUCGGAUUCUGUGUCUCCCUCUCUCUCUGCCCCUUUUCUGCUCACACUCUGUCUCUGAAAAAUAAAUAAUAAACAUUAAUAUUCUUGGUUUGUUUUGUUUUUGAGAGAGAGCGCGAGAGUGAGAGCAGGGGAGGGAAAGAGAGAGAGGGGAGAGAAGGAUCCAAAGCGAGCUCUGCACUGACAGCAGAGAUCCCGGUGCGGGCCUCAAACUCAUGAACCCUGAUAUCAUGACCUGAACCGAAGUCAGAUGCUCAACUGAAUCAGCUACCCAGGCACGCCUUGUGUUAAUAUUCACCACUGUCACCAACUGGUUUUAUUCUAUAAAACUGACACAGGGUCCUGUGACCCUGAAGACUUAGCACUUCAUAUACUGGUCAUAAAGAAUCACUUUCCUUCCAUAGAUGUUAUGGACUGAAUGUCUGCAUGUCCCCAAACUUCAUAUGUUUAAGCCCUAAUCCCAGUGAUGGUAUCUAGACAAGAGGGCUCUGGGACAUAAUUAGGUUUAUUUAUUUAUUUUUUAAUGUUUUUUAUUUAUUUUAAUUAAAAAAAAUUUUUAAUGUUUAUAUAUAUGUGAAGGAGAGAGAGAGAUGAAGUUGAGUGAGGAGGGGCAGAGAAAGAGGGAGACACAGAAUCCAAAGCAGGCUCCAGGCUCCAAGCUGUCAGCACAGAGCCCGAUGCAGGGCUUGAACCCACAAACUGUGAGAUCAUGACCUGAGCUAAAGUUGGAUGCCCAACCGACUGAGCCACCCAGGCACCCCCAUAAUGUUUAUUUAUUUUUGAGAGAGAGAGAGAGAGAGAAACAGAGAGACAGAGCUCGAGUGGGGGAGGGGCAGAGAGAGAGAAUCCAAAGCAGGCUUCAGGCUCUGAGCUGUCAGCAUAGAGCCCAAUGUGGGGCUUGAACCCACAAACCAUGAGAUCAUGACCUAAGCCCAUGACCUGAGCUGAAGUUGGGCCCUUAAGCCACUGAGCCACCCAGGUGCCCCUGGGACGUAAUUAGUUUUAGAUGAGUUCAUGAGGGUGGUGCUCCAUAAUGGGAUUGGUGCCUUUGUGAGAAGAGGAAGAAAGGUCACACUCUCCUCUCUCUCCACCAUGUGAGGACACAGCAAGAAAGCAAGCCACAGAGAGGGUCAUCACCGGAACCCAAACAUGCUGGCACUCUGAUCUCUGACUUCCAGCCUCCAGAACUAUAAGAAAAUAAAUAUCUGUUGUUUAAACCACUCAGUCUAUGGUAUUUUGUUAUUGCAGCCCAAGCUAAGUCAUGUGACCUUUAAAAUGAUAAGAACACCUUGUUUAGCACUAGUCUUCAAGAUCAAUGAUUUCAGAAAGACAAAUAUACCCUUGAGGUUUGAAACAUUUGCACCUGUG
rnacentral:lncRNA from 1 species